CGAUCGAAGCCGCUUCGGUGGUGGCUUAGUGGCGAACGGGUGAGUAACACGUGGGCAAUCUGCCCUGCACUCUGGGACAAGCCCUGGAAACGGGGUCUAAUACCGGAUAUGACUGCCGGAGGCAUCUCCUGUGKGUGGAAAGCGUUAGUGGUGCAGGAUGAGCCCGCGGCCUAUCAGCUUGUUGGUGGGGUGAUGGCCUACCAAGGCGACGACGGGUAGCCGGCCUGAGAGGGCGACCGGCCACACUGGGACUGAGACACGGCCCAGACUCCUACGGGAGGCAGCAGUGGGGAAUAUUGCACAAUGGGCGGAAGCCUGAUGCAGCGACGCCGCGUGAGGGAUGACGGCCUUCGGGUUGUAAACCUCUUUCAGCAGGGAAGAAGCUUUUAUCGGUGACGGUACCUGCAGAAGAAGCACCGGCUAACUACGUGCCAGCAGCCGCGGUAAUACGUAGGGUGCGAGCGUUGUCCGGAAUUAUUGGGCGUAAAGAGCUCGUAGGCGGCGUGUCACGUCGGAUGUG
rnacentral:rRNA from 1 species